rnacentral:rRNA from 1 species
GCCUACGGGAGGCUGCAGUGGGGAAUCUUAGACAAUGGGGGAAACCCUGAUCUAGCCAUGCCGCGUGAUCGAUGAAGGCCUUAGGGUUGUAAAGAUCUUUCAGUGGGGAAGAUAAUGACUGUACCCACAGAAGAAGCCCCGGCUAACUCCGUGCCAGCAGCCGCGGUAAUACGGAGGGGGCUAGCGUUGUUCGGAAUUACUGGGCGUAAAGCGCACGUAGGCGGGACAGAAAGUCAGAGGUGAAAUCCCAGGGCUCAACCUUGGAACUGCCUUUGAAACUCCUGUUCUUGAGGUCGAGAGAGGUGAGUGGAAUUCCGAGUGUAGAGGUGAAAUUCGUAGAUAUUCGGAGGAACACCAGUGGCGAAGGCGGCUCACUGGCUCGAUACUGACGCUGAGGUGCGAAAGCGUGGGGAGCAAACAGGAUUAGAUACCCCAGUAGUCA